rnacentral:tRNA from 1 species
UCCAUGGUGGCUCAGAUGGUAAAGCAUCUGGCUGCAAUGCAGGAAACCCAGGUUCAACCCCUGGGUUAGGAA